rnacentral:rRNA from 1 species
GACGAACGCUGGCGGCGUGCUUAACACAUGCAAGUCGAACGGAAAGGCCCCUUUGGGGGUACUCGAGUGGCGAACGGGUGAGUAACACGUGAGUAACCUGCCCUUGACUUCGGGAUAACUUCAGGAAACUGGGGCUAAUACCGGAUAGGAAUCCUUGCUGCAUGGUGGGGGUUGGAAAGCUUCGGCGGUUUUGGAUGGACUCGCGGCUUAUCAGCUUGUUGGUGGGGUAGUGGCUUACCAAGGCUUUGACGGGUAGCCGGCCUGAGAGGGCGACCGGCCACAUUGGGACUGAGAUGCGGCCCAGACCCCUACGGGAGGCAGCAGUGGGGAAUAUUGCACAAUGGGCGGGAGCCUGAUGCAGCAACGCCGCGUGCGGGAUGACGGGCUUCGGGUUGGAAACCGCUUUCAGCAGGGGCGAAGCUUGUGGUGACGGUACCUGCAGAAGAAGCACCGGCUAACUACGUG